AUGUCUCAGUACAGACCGAUAAACGGUGAAACCGCGAAUGGCUCAUUAAAUCAGUCGUAAUUUACUGGAUCUCGAUCCAACCUUACUUGGAUAACUGUGGUAAUUCUAGAGCUAAUACAUGCAACCGAGCUCCGACCCCGCCUCGGUGGGGAAAGGGCGCAUUUAUUAGACCAAAAACCGAUCCGCCCCCUCGACGGGGCGGUCGUGGUGACUCUGAAUAACUCAGCCGAGCGCUACGGUCCUUGGACCAGCGCCGUAUCCUCCGAGUGUCUGCCUUAUCAGCUUUAUCGUAAGCUAUGGGCUUACGAUGGCUGUAACGGGUAACGGGGAAUCAGGGUUCGAUUCCGGAGAGGGAGCCUGAGAAACGGCUACCACAUCUAAGGAAGGCAGCAGGCACGCAAAUUACCCACUCCCGGCUCGGGGAGGUAGUGACGAAAAAUACCGAUGCGGGACUCUUCCGAGGCCUCGCCAUCGGAUUGAGCUCAACCUAAAUCCUUGGACGAGAUUCCAUUGGAGGGCAAGUCUGGUGCCAGCAGCCGCGGUAAUUCCAGCUCCAAUAGCAUAUAUUAAAGUUGCUGCGGUUAAAAAGCUCAUAGUUGGAUCUGUCGUCCGGACUGGCGGCCCGCUAAGGGCUAGACCACCGUCGUUGGGCCUUAUAACCCUUCGGCUCGCGUCUGGCCUGGCGGUAAACUGUCCAGCUCCGGAUCGUAAAAUCCGCCGGCGAGCGAGGGAUGCCUAACAGUGUCCCGAGCGCCCCGGCAAGUUCACUUUGAAUAAAUUAGAGUGCUCAAAGCAGGCAAAAACUCACGCCUGAAUGGUGGUGCAUGGAAUGAUGGAACAGGACCUCGGUUCUGCCCUGUUUGUUGGUCGGUUUCUUCGGAACCGAGGUAAUGAUUAAAAGAAACAGACGGGGGCAUUCGUAUUGCGACGCUAGAGGUGAAAUUCUUGGACCGUCGCAAGACGAACUACUGCGAAAGCAUUUGCCAAGAAUGUUUUCAUUAAUCAAGAACGAAAGUUAGAGGAUCGAAGGCGAUCAGAUACCGCCCUAGUUCUAACCGUAAACGAUGCUACCUGGCGAUCCGCCGGCGUCAUACCCACGACUCGGCGGGGAGCCUCCGGGAAACCAAAGGUUUCGAGUUCCGGGGGAAGUAUGGUUGCAAAGCUGAAACUUAAAGGAAUUGACGGAAGGGCACCACCAGGAGUGGAGCCUGCGGCUUAAUUUGACUCAACACGGGGAAACUUACCAGGUCCAGACACCGAAAGGAUUGACAGAUUGAGAGCUCUUUCUCGAUACGGUGGGUGGUGGUGCAUGGCCGUUUUUAGUUGGUGGAGCGAUCUGUCUGGUUGAUUCCGAUAACGAACGAGACUCUGCCCUGCUAAAUAGUCGUCGAAUCGACUCCCGAGACGGGGGCAGCGGGUGCCGUCUCUUCUCUUCUCGAGCGCUCGUUUCCGCCGCCGCUUUGGAGUAGUCCUUUUUCCCCGUCCCAGCCUUUAAACGGGAUGGUCAACGGGGUUGGGGGCCUUCGAACGCGCGCGCGUGGAGCACGCUUGUUGUUAGAGGGAGUAACGUCUCCGUUCGCUUCCCAACGAGGGGCGUUCGUCGCAAAUGUCUUCUUAGAGGGAUCGGCGGCGUUUAGUCGCACGAAAUGGAGCAAAAACAGGUCUGUGAUGCCCUUAGAUGUUCUGGGCCGCACGCGCGCUACAAUGAAGGGCGCAGCGUGCUAUCCCCCUCCGAAAGGAGCGGGUAAUCCCUUGAAACCCCUUCCCGAUUGGGAUUGGGGUCUGAAAAUAUUUCCCAUGAACGAGGAAUUCCUAGUAAGCGCGAGUCAUCAGCUCGCGCUGAUUAAGUCCCUGCCCUUUGUACACACCGCCCGUCGCUACUACUGAUUGAAUGAUUCAGUGAGGGCAUCGGACUGGCGCCCUCG
rnacentral:rRNA from 1 species